GUGGGAAGGCUCAGACAGCCAGGAUGUUGGCUUAGAAGCAGCCAUCAUUUAAAGAAAGCGUAAUAGCUCACUGGUCGAGUCGGCCUGCGCGGAAGAUGUAACGGGGCUAAGUAGUAAACCGAAGCUGCGGCAAUAUACUUUUGUAUAUUGGGUAGGGGAGCGUUCUGUAAGCGGUUGAAGGUGUGUGGUAACGCAUGCUGGACGUAUCAGAAGUGCGAAUGCUGACAUGAGUAACGAUAAAGGGGGUGAAAAACCUCCUCGCCGGAAGACCAAGGGUUCCUGUCCAACGUUAAUCGGGGCAGGGUAAGUCGACCCCUAAGGCGAGGCCGAAAGGCGUAGUCGAUGGGAAACGGGUUAAUAUUCCCGUACUUCUUACAAUUGCGAUGGGGGGACGGAGAAGGCUAGGUGGGCCUGGCGACGGUUGUCCAGGUUCAAGUGCGUAGGCUUAAGAGUUAGGUAAAUCCGGCUCUUUUUAAGGCUGAGACACGACGUCGAGCACCUACGGGUGUGAAGUCAUUGAUGCCAUGCUUCCAGGAAAAGCCUCUAAGCUUCAGAUUGUAAGGAAUCGUACCCCAAACCGACACAGGUGGUCGGGUAGAGAAUACCAAGGCGCUUGAGAGAACUCGGGUGAAGGAACUAGGCAAAAUGGUACCGUAACUUCGGGAGAAGGUACGCUCUCGACGGUGAAGUCCCUUGCGGAUGGAGCUAUUGAGAGUCGCAGAUACCAGGUGGCUGCAACUGUUUAUUAAAAACACAGCACUGUGCAAAAUCGUAAGAUGACGUAUACGGUGUGACGCCUGCCCGGUGCCGGAAGGUUAAUUGAUGGGGUUAGACUUCGGUCGAAGCUCUUGAUCGAAGCCCCGGUAAACGGCGGCCGUAACUAUAACGGUCCUAAGGUAGCGAAAUUCCUUGUCGGGUAAGUUCCGACCUGCACGAAUGGCGUAAUGAUGGCCACGCUGUCUCCACCCGAGACUCAGUGAAAUUGAAAUCGCUGUGAAGAUGCAGUGUACCCGCGGCUAGACGGAAAGACCCCGUGAACCUUUACUACAGCUUGGCACUGAACAUUGACCCUACAUGUGUAGGAUAGGUGGGAGGCUUUGAAGCAGGUACGCCAGUAUCUGUGGAGCCGUCCUUGAAAUACCACCCUUGUAGUGUUGAUGUUCUAACGUCGACCCCUAAUCGGGGUUGCGGACAGUGCCUGGUGGGUAGUUUGACUGGGGCGGUCUCCUCCCAAAGAGUAACGGAGGAGCACGAAGGUGGGCUAAUCACGGUUGGACAUCGUGAGGUUAGUGCAAUGGCAUAAGCCCGCUUGACUGCGAGAAUGACAAUUCGAGCAGGUGCGAAAGCAGGUCAUAGUGAUCCGGUGGUUCUGAAUGGAAGGGCCAUCGCUCAACGGAUAAAAGGUACUCCGGGGAUAACAGGCUGAUACCGCCCAAGAGUUCAUAUCGACGGCGGUGUUUGGCACCUCGAUGUCGGCUCAUCACAUCCUGGGGCUGAAGUCGGUCCCAAGGGUAUGGCUGUUCGCCAUUUAAAGUGGUACGCGAGCUGGGUUUAGAACGUCGUGAGACAGUUCGGUCCCUAUCUGCCGUGGGCGUUGGAAGAUUGAAGGGGGCUGCUCCUAGUACGAGAGGACCGGAGUGGACGAACCUCUGGUGUUCGGGUUGUGUCGCCAGACGCAUUGCCCGGUAGCUAAGUUCGGAAUCGAUAACCGCUGAAAGCAUCUAAGCGGGAAGCGAGCCCUGAGAUGAGUCUUCCCUGAUACUUUAAGUAUCCUAAAGGGUUGUCGGAGACUACGACGUUGAUAGGUCAGGUGUGUAAGUGCUGUGAGGCAUUGAGCUAACUGAUACUAAUUGCCCGUGAGGCUUAACCAUACAACACCCAAGGGGUUU
rnacentral:rRNA from 1 species